GCAUGCCUAAUACAUGCAAGUCGAGCGAAAAAGGUCUUCGGGCCUUUUUAGUGGCAAACGGGCGAGUAACACAUAUUUAACUUGCUCAUCCGAGGAGAAUAGCAGCCCGAAAGGGCUAUUAAUACGCCAUAGUUUUAAAUUAGUGAAUUAAUUUAAAUUAAAGGAGGCUGCCGAAAGGUGGCCUCGCGGAUGAAUAGGAAUAUGUCCUAUUAGGUCGUUGGAGAGGUAAUGGCUCACCAAGCCGAUGAUGGGUAGCUGGACUGAGAGGUUGAACAGCCGCAAUGGGAUUGAGAAAUGGCCCAUAUUCCUACGGGAAGCAGCAGUGAGGAAUUUUUCACAAUGGACGAAAGUCUGAUGGAGCAAUACCACGUGAACGAUGAAGGUCUUCUGAUUGUAAAGUUCUUUUAUUUAGGAAAAAAAGCGCGGCAGGAAAUGGCCGCGCCUUGAUUGUACUAAUUGAAUAAGUGACAGCUAACUAUGUGCCAGCAGCUGCGGUAAAACAUAGGUCACGAGCAUUAUCCGGAUUUAUUGGGCGUAAAGGAAGCGUAGGCUGAAAUGUGUAUUCAUUGUUAAAAAUAUUUGCUUAACAAGUGUUCGCGGUGAAGAUUACAUUUCUAGAAUUAGUUAGAGGGUACUGGAAUUCAAUGUGUAGUGGUGGAAUACGUAGAUAUAUUGAGGAACACCAGAGGCUAAGGCGAGUGCCUGGAACAUAAUUGACGCUGAGGCUUGAAAGCGUGGGUAGCAAAUGGGAUUAGAUACCCCAGUAGUCCACGCCGUAAACGAUGGGUAUUAGUCAUUUGGAUUUAAGACUGAGUGAUGUAGCUAACGCGUUAAAUACCCCGCCUGGGUAGUAUAUAUGCAAAUAUGAAACUCAAAGAAAUUGACGGGGACCUGAACAAGUGGUGGAGAAUCACUAGUGA
rnacentral:rRNA from 1 species